GUAGGGUGCAAGCGUUAAUCGGAAUUACUGGGCGUAAAGCGUGCGCAGGCGGGUUUGUAAGUCUGUCGUGAAAGCCCCGGGGCUUAACCUGGGAAUUGCGAUGGAGACUGCAAGGCUUGAAUCUGGCAGAGGGGGGUAGAAUUCCACGUGUAGCAGUGAAAUGCGUAGAGAUGUGGAGGAACACCGAUGGCGAAGGCAGCCCCCUGGGUCAAGAUUGACGCUCAUGCACGAAAGCGUGGGGAGCAAACAGGAUUAGAUACCCUGGUAGUCCACGCCCUAAACGAUGUCUACUAGUUGUCGGGUCUUAAUUGACUUGGUAACGCAGCUAACGCGUGAAGUAGACCGCCUGGGGAGUACGGUCGCAAAGAUUA
rnacentral:rRNA from 1 species